rnacentral:lncRNA from 1 species
GUUUGUCUGCCCCAGGCUGGGACUCUGGUUUCAAUGGCCCUUUUCCUUUCUUUGCCUUAGGUUUAAACAGGAAUCUAUCUCCACCCUGCAACUUAUUCCACAUCUGUCUUGUAACCUUACACUGUGUUUUAUCCUCUGUCUGCAAAGUCCACCCAUUAAAGAAAGCCCUCUCAAGAGUCCUCCUGCUUCAACCCGGAAAGGAGCCCUCACUUCUGCCUGCCACACAUGAAGCUUUCUUAUGUCACAGAGUACCACCGGAACCUGGAGAUGCUUCAGGACUACGGCCACUAGAGGGGCUGGCCUUGCUUCAUGGCUGCAUUCUUGAACCAAAAAGAAGGCUGAUCCAGACCAAGCUGGAGGCUGAGUGAAUUUGGGAUGGGAGGGUCAUUAAGCAUCACAGUUGAUCAGUAUUCUGUUUUGCUAAUCAUCUUCCUGAUCUGUCUGCAUGGUUUAAACUACAAAAUGUUAAUGCCUGACGUGAUUUCAUGCCUCUUUCUCAGACCCAUAGAGAAGCCUUGGGUUUUCCCUCACCCUUGCCUUUUCACCCCCAUCCCAGAAUGAUUCAUGUGAAUACUAGCUCAUUUUCUCAGACUCACAUUUUUCUAAGCCUGGAAAAAUGACAAGGGGCUGGUACCAGAACUAUGACCCUUCCUGGAACAGUUUUCUCCAUGGAAUUCAACAAAUCUUUGCUCAUCCUGGGCCAGAGAAAGAGGUGGGUGGUGUCAGGCCACCAAGCAAUGAUAGUGGCUGCCAAGGAAGGCAGGUAGGGACUCUGCCCGGGUCAAUCCCUGAGCAAAGGGUUUUUCUGGAAGGUUUCACAUUUCAUCUUCACGACAACAUCCUCAGGCAGGCAUUGUUACCCCAGCAUAACACAGGAGGAAACUGAGGCUUGGAGAAGUUGAAGUGUGUGGCCAGAGUCUCGUGACCAGUAAAGGUGGAGUCAGGGUAGGAAUGCGAGUCUGGCUGAAUCUAGGCUUUCUUCCCAUUAUCACAGGGCAUCUUACCAGUGACCGCAGUUUAGGGGACAUUCACAAGUAGGUGCUCUUUGGUCCCUUCUCCUGCCAUAAAUGAAUUAGCUGCUCUAAAAGGUCCAUGCAAAAGCUAGUUUGUUUUCCAUUGUCCAAAGAGAGAUGAGAGAAGAAGAGAAGAGAAAAAGAGGAAGAGAAAAAGAGACGCACACACAAAGAUAAAAAAGAGCGCAGUGAUAGAAUCAGCAACAGAAAGACACAACUGAGAGGUGGACACUGGGGACUCGACUAGGGCUUGGCAGGAGGCCAGGAGCUACCCUCUCCCUGCCCGACUCCCCCUCUCCCAACAGCUGAUCACAGCUGCCGCAAGCUUGGUUUGACAUCCGGAUGAAAAGCAAAGCUAACUGCAGCCCAGCAGAGCACCACGGGAUUCAUCAUAACCGUCCUCAGCUGAGGACAGAAACAUGGCCAGCUCCAGAUUAUCCUUGCUGAUGGCAGAGAGGGAGAGCGUGGCUAAAUGAAUAAGAACAUCUUGGGGUGGGAAAAACCUCAGACUCACCUAUCCUCCCGUCGCCCCCAG